rnacentral:rRNA from 1 species
UAGUCCACGCCGUAAACGAUGUCAACUAGCUGUUGGAAAACUAUGUUUUUCAGUGGCGCAGCUAACGUAGUAAGUUGACCGCCUGGGGAGUACGGCCGCAAGGCUAAAACUCAAAUGAAUUGACGGGGACCCGCACAAGCGGUGGAGCAUGUGGUUUAAUUCGAUGAUACGCGAGGAACCUUACCAGGGUUUAAAUGUAGAAUGACCGGGGUGGAAACACCCCUUUCUUCGGACAGACUACAAGGUGCUGCAUGGUUGUCGUCAGCUCGUGCUGUGAAGUGUCGGGUUAAGUCCCAUAACGAGCGCAACCCCCAUUUCUAGUUGCCAGCGGUUCGGCCGGGGACUCUAGAGAAACUGCCAGCGUAAGCUGUGAGGAAGGUGGGGAUGACGUCAAAUCAUCACGGCCCUUACAUCCUGGGCCACACACGUGCUACAAUGGUAGGGACAACAGGUUGCCAACCCGCGAGGGUGAGGCCAAGUCCCAAAACCCUAUCUCAGUUCGGAUCGGAGUCUGCAACUCGACUCCGUGAAGUUGGAA